GCGCUGGGGUGGCGGCAUGUUGCUGCGGUGGGUGCUUAUGUUGCCCAUGUGGGCUCUGCAUCUUUUGGUGCUGCCAGAUCAUCGCU
rnacentral:tRNA from 1 species